CUGUUUUAGAGAAUGUGCAUUGCCCGACACAGGAAAGAUAAACAGAUCCUCACAGCUCCUGAUGAAGGACCAGUUCCGAAACGCAUUGAGCUUUUAAUAAACUUCUUCCAGCACCAGAGCUUGCCUCUCUAUCCUGCCCACUAGAUUUCUGAAACCAGAUUUUAUGUUGCAUGAAAGGUCCAAUAUAAUGCUCAAAUUACCAGUAGGAGCCGGGGCAGCAAUUUAUAAAGAUAUUGAACAGUAUGGAGCCUAGGACAGAGCCCUGUGACACCUACUUGAGGCUUCCUUCCAGAUCAACGCAGAGCCAGUAAUGUGUUAGGUACAGCUGUGGAUCCACCUAACAGCAGAAUUGUCCAAAGCAAAUUUUACUAUGUCAAGUUCUUUGCUGAAAUCAAGAUACAUCAUAUUUAUGGCAUUUCCAUGAACUAUGAAACUAGCAACUACUAUAGCAACA